GCAGGGUGUGGUGGUGCACGCCUAUAAUCCCAGCAGCUGAGGAGGCUGAGGCAGGAGGAUCCUGAGUUCUAAGCCAGCCUCCGCAACACUGAGGACCUAAGCAACUCAGUGAGACCCUGUCUCUA
rnacentral:sRNA from 1 species